ACAGGGGAGCUGCAAGGCUGAGAGGAAGGAAACUUCGACCCUAGGAACCUGUAAGGAUAAUGCCGGCGUAGGGAAAUAGGAA
rnacentral:ncRNA from 1 species